GUGGAAGGGGCAUGCAGAGGAGCGGCCAUGCAUGGGAGCUUUGCUUUGCUUGCCUCUCCUGCUCUGGGCUCUAGCUCUCUCCUGUGCCUGCCUCUUCCAUU
rnacentral:pre_miRNA from 1 species